rnacentral:rRNA from 1 species
AGACCGAUAGCGAACAAGUACCGUGAGGGAAAGAUGAAAAGCACUUUGGAAAGAGAGUUAAACAGUACGUGAAAUUGUUGAAAGGGAAACGCUUGAAGUCAGUCGCGUCUUCUAGGACUCAGCCUUACUUCGGUUAGGUGUACUUCCUGGUUUGACGGGUCAACAUCGAUUUUGAUCGACGGAUAAAGGAGAAGGGAAUGUGGCACCUUCGGGUGUGUUAUAGCCCUCUUCGUAUACGUCGAUUGGGAUCGAGGACUGCAGCACGCCCUUGUGGCCGGGGGUUCGCCCUACGUAUCGUGCUUAGGAUGUUGACAUAAUGGCUUUAAGCGACCCGUCUUGAAACACGGACCAAG